GAUGAACGCUAGCGGCGUGCCUAAUACAUGCAAGUCGAGCGAACAGACGAGGAGCUUGCUCCUCUGACGUUAGCGGCGGACGGGUGAGUAACACGUGGAUAACCUACCUAUAAGACUGGGAUAACUUCGGGAAACCGGAGCUAAUACCGGAUAAUAUAUUGAACCGCAUGGUUCAAUAGUGAAAGACGGUUUUGCUGUCACUUAUAGAUGGAUCCGCGCCGCAUUAGCUAGUUGGUAAGGUAACGGCUUACCAAGGCAACGAUGCGUAGCCGACCUGAGAGGGUGAUCGGCCACACUGGAACUGGGACACGGUCCAGACUCCUACGGGAGGCAGCAGUAGGGAAUCUUCCGCAAUGGGCGAAAGCCUGACGGAGCAACGCCGCGUGAGUGAUGAAGGUCUUCGGAUCGUAAAACUCUGUUAUUAGGGAAGAACAAAUGUGUAAGUAACUAUGCACGUCUUGACGGUACCUAAUCAGAAAGCCACGGCUAACUACGUG
rnacentral:rRNA from 1 species